AAUAGAUACCCGGGUAGUCCACGCCGUAAACGGUGGGCACUAGGUGUGGGCGACAUUCCACGUCGUCCGUGCCGCAGCUAACGCAUUAAGUGCCCCGCCUGGGGAGUACGGCCGCAAGGCUAAAACUCAAAGGAAUUGACGGGGGCCCGCACAAGCGGCGGAGCAUGUGGCUUAAUUCGACGCAACGCGAAGAACCUUACCAAGGCUUGACAUACACCGGAAACGUCCAGAGAUGGGCGCCCCCUUGUGGUCGGUGUACAGGUGGUGCAUGGCUGUCGUCAGUUCGUGUCGUGAGAUGUUGGGUUAAGUCCCGCAACGAGCGCAACCCUUGUCCCGUGUUGCCAGCAGGCCCUUGUGGUGCUGGGGACUCACGGGAGACCGCCGGGGUCAACUCGGAGGAAGGUGGGGACGACGUCAAGUCAUCAUGCCCCUUAUGUCUUGGGCUGCACACGUGCUACAAUGGCCGGUACAAUGAGCUGCGAUACCGCGAGGUGGAGCGAAUCUCAAAAAGCCGGUCUCAGUUCGGAUUGGGGUCUGCAACUCCG
rnacentral:rRNA from 1 species